UUCUCAUGCUAUCCAUUUAUCCUCUCUCUUCUUCCUUCAAUCUUCCAAUCCAAAUCCAUUCAAAAUCCUAUCAAAUCCUAUCAAAUCCAAUCCCUCUUAUUGAGCAAAGGAGAGCAAUCCACUCAAGUGAGGAAGGGGCACAUUCUUCACUUCACCAAAGGUCUAAUCUGAAGGAGAAGGCAAGAUAACAAUAAUUCUAGUGAAUAUCCAACACAUAAAAGCCUCUUAGAAGAUAUCCAACCUAUCAUACAAAAUACACAAAGAAGCCACAUAUUUGUAGAGCUCAACACAAUUGGAAAGUGCCCAUGGUUUCCAAAACCAAAUCCAACACCAAAAAGAGUAAGAUUUCAUAACUUUGUUGCAGAUUUGAUUUGGCAAGCACAUCCAACAGAGUAAAGAUUGACAAAUUUAAUGGCAUCAAUUUUGAGUUAUGGAAAUUCAAAAUGGAGGACAUACUUAUGGAUAGAGCUCUACGGGUAGAGGUUUCUUAAAUGAAACCUCAAAAUACACCACAUGAUGAAUGGGAUAAAAUGGAUCGAAAAGCCAAGGGUUUUCCCACGUAUAUGGGCAAAAGUACGAAGUUGUGUUGCACUUGGGGCUAAUUGGGGGUAGUUCGGCCGGACUACCAACUAGCCAUGUGGUGCCCCGUGUCGCUGGCGUGGCGCCUAAAUGGUGCUAAGAGUUCGACCGAACUAUUGACUACAUAAUCCCGAUUUGUGAGCGCUUGACCUUAGAAUUUUUUCAAAAAAAAUCAAAAUAGUUUGGCCGAACUCUGAAUUGAGUUUGGUCGAACUCGCCUAUGUGGCAGCUAAAUCACCUAUUUUGUCUGUAUUUCUGAAACUUUUCACUUCUGUUCAAUUUUUC